rnacentral:rRNA from 1 species
UACGGAGGGGCUAGCGUUGUUCGGAAUUACUGGGCGUAAAGCGCACGUAGGCGGAUGUGUCAGUCAGGGGUGAAAUCCCGGAGCUCAACUUCGGAACUGCCUUUGAUACAGCACGUCUUGAGUCCGGAAGAGGUGGGUGGAAUUCCUAGUGUAGAGGUGAAAUUCGUAGAUAUUAGGAAGAACACCGGUGGCGAAGGCGGCCCGCUGGUCCGGUACUGACGCUGAGGUGCGAAACGUGGGGGAGCA